GCCCGGCCCUAUCGAAGCUGCGUCUGUCUCGGUGCUGUGGCAGAUGCAGUCAAAAAGGAGCCGAGAGCGAAAGGUUUUUCCUCGACGGUCGCCGCUCAGUUUGAGCCUCCGUAACUGUCCGGCAACAUUUCGGGAAAAUACAUGG
ensembl:snoRNA